rnacentral:lncRNA from 1 species
CAAGCGGACAGGCCCAAUUCCCAGCACCCAGAGUUGGCAUUAGGCGGUGCUCAACUACAGAGGCAUGCGAUGGGUGUGGAAAGAGGGGAAAUCGGCUUGGGAGGGAGAGUGUAAUUAACAGACUCAAGCACCUUGCGGCAGAUUGGCAGAUUACUCUGCAGGGAUCUGGGAGGUGAGUCCUGCUGGGGACUCCUGCCCUGAGCCUCGGUUCUGCAGGUGGCUGGGUUGGCCUGUGGCUGGAGCCAGCAGGGUGAAGGGGGCAGCAGGCUGUGGGCUGGAGUCCCACCUGUUGGCAUGCUCACAGCCCGUUGCUCUUUGGGGCGUGGUUUUGAGACGUUCUGAGCGCCCCUGUCUUGCUCAGGACCCCAGGUGCCUUUUCUCAGGAUCCUGGGACUGACUUUUGCUUCACUGUGGCAAUGUGGCUUUGCGCGGCAGGCAGGCUCCGGUGGCAAUCUCUUUUAUUGGACUCACCUUCUCUACCCUGAGGCCUUGUCCAUCGUGUGCAGAGUCCUGGCUUGGAAACCACAGGGAGCAGAGCGGAGGACCCAGAAUUCCCAGCGGCUCCCUGGGAGGUCUGGCCUCCUCCUCCUUCUCCACCGAGGGGCUGUUAGGAGCAGAAUAAGUCUGUGUUGGGAAUUUGGAACAGGUUUGUUUCCAGGGGGUGUUUCUAGACGACAGCCCUCCCUUCGCCCCCGGUGGGUUGCAGGUCUGGUCUCUCAGGAGGCAGACGGAGCCUGAGGGAUGGUUGGGCCUGGAGAACAGGGGGCUGGAACGUGCCAGGGGCAGCCCUGGAGUAGGACGCCCUGGGAGCUGUGUGGUGACGGCCAGCCCUGACUCUCCACCCCCAGCCCUUGGCCGUGGCCCCCAGAGGAGGGCGUGGAAACAGGCAGGGACCCUCCCUAGCUGGCGGCCAGCAGGAGGCACCUUGUCCACAUCAAAGCCCAGUGUCUAGUGCUGUUCCAUUGCUUGGGGCUGGCCUGGACUAACCCUUCCAGGGCCACCAGGAUCUCAGCCUUGGCCACCAUGUUCUAGCCAGUUCAUUCAGGUUCCCUUUGCUUGCUUGGAGAAUUCCUACUCAUACACCAAGACCCCGAUCAGAUGUCACCUUGACCAUCACCUCUCCGCGGGCCUCCAUUCCUGCCUUAGCGACCUCUUCGGGCCCAACCCAUAAUUUAUCUCCACUCUCUGAGAUGUUUCUUGCAGGUAGCCUUCCCUCCACCCCACGGGUCUCCCCUGGGGCCAGACACUGUCUGUGUUUCUCCUUCCAUGCUCAGCACCCAGUGCCACGCCUGGGACACGACCCUGAGGAGGGAAUGUGGGUGCGAGGGAAUGGCCAGGGGUUGGCUGGGAAGGUCCCUGGUAUCAGGGCCACAGUGGCAGUGGCCCCCUGGGAACUCACACCAGAUAGGCCCAUUUGCUGGCACUGAUGUCGCUGUUGGCCUGCGUCCUUCUUGGAAGCCUCUGGAUUCUUGGCAGCCUGUGCUCUGUCAGCCUGGUGCAUGAGGCGAGGUUCACAGUGAGCCUGUCCUUCCUGUUUCAAACUCCCCACCUCUGUGACCCGGGGGAGUCAGGGAGCUACAGGGGAGGUGGGGCUGUCCUCAGGGUGGGGAUCUUGAGCUCUCCCUCCUGGGCCAGCCCCAGCCCUUCAAAGGUUAAAUGCAUUUAUGUGGCACCUACAGGAAGUUGCCGGGUCCUGGCAGGACAUGGAGAAGAGUGAAGGACGGCUGUGUCCACAGGAAGAGCCAACAGCUGCCUCUGGGACCCCCCGCAGCUCUGACUUGGCUCUGCCCUCACCAGGCGAAGAGGAGGCUGGGGUCGCCAGGGGGCACUGAUGUUUGCCUGGGCCAGGACCUUCCCACACUGCUUGGCGGGGUGUUCCUGCAGCAGAAGAGAGAAGAGCUGGUACCCGUGGGUCUGGCCUUGCAGGGGAAGAGGACCGGAGUUUGUGAGCUAUGAGGCUUGUCUUUAAAUCUCACGAGACUUCUGCAUCCUGCCCCAUAACGUCCUUCUCCAUGUCUCAGCGGAACAGGGAGUGUUUUAGAUGCUUACCAGUCGACCGACUCAGCUCGCCCCCUUCCCUUGCUGAGUAAGAUGAAGACCCCAGCAAGACGCCCUCAACCAGGCAUCUUGAGACCUCUGGUAGCCUCUUGCCUUUGGUCCAUGGGGACCCCAGUCGGAGGGACCUAGGUGCACAGGGAUCCCUGGGAGGUGGCAGGAAGGAGGUGGGGCUGGGGACAUGAUGAGGGCUCGAGCUUCUCACCUCAGUCUGAGGCCCGUGUGUCCCUUGGAGGGGUGCUGGGCAAACUUGGUGGAGUCAAGGACAGCAUCUUUGUCAUUUUGGGACUCUGUUGUGGCACAGUGUCAGGCACAGCCUGGGGCCUCAGAAUGGGUUUGUUGAAUGAACAGUGGGGUAGAUGAAGGGGCUCUUAGGACAGAGUGACAGUGAAGAGGCAGCAGGUGUCAAGAGGGAGUGACAAGACCCUUGCCCAGGAAUGAGAGGGUCUCGCGGGGAAGAGGGGCAGGAGAGUGGGCAUGAGGCCACGAGGUGGGCGGUGCUCGGGGCUGUGGCCUCUGUCGCCUGGCGCAGCACCACCAGCUGUCUGAGAGCAUCAGCUGUCGGAGCUGCCCCAUCCGGAAGCCUGCUGUGUACGGGACAUUUCUAGAUGCCUCCCCGUGGUUAGCCCAUCUGAUCGGGACGGCCAGACUUGUCCUGGAGGGUGAGGAGUGGCAUUGGUGAAGUCCGAGCAGGGCGAGACCACCGCUUGGUCACUGAGGAGCCCACAGAGCACCUGCCCUCAGGUGAGGGGACAGAGGUGGGGUCUGCGCAGGGCUCUGGCUCCAAGUCCUGCCCUCUCCACGGGCCACACUGGCCCCUUGACAGUGCUUCUGAAAACGCUCAUCGCGUGUGUCCGUAGCCUCAGGAGGUGGACGCUGUGUUUGGUUUCUGUGGCUACAGUAACAAAUCCCCAUAGACUGGGGGGCUUAAAACCGCAGAUGCUCAUUCUCUUACUAUUCUAGAGGUCAGAAUCCAAGAGCAAGAUGUGGUCGGGCUCUUCCUUCUGAGGCUCUGGGGAGCAUGAUCCUGCCUCUCCCUGUUGCUGCUGCUCACUGCGAUCCUUGGCCUUCCUCAGCCUCAGACGCGUCCCUCCGACUCGGCCCUCCUGGUCUCCCUAAGUGUGUCUGUAUCUAAAUUUCCUCCUCCUCUUCCUCUUCCUUUCCUUCUUCUUUGAGCCCAGGGGCACAUGACCACGGAGCCACAUGCCCAGUACCCCCCCGCCUGCUUUAUAAUUUUUUUUUAGUUGAAGAUGGACACAAUAUCUUUUAUUGAUUGAUUGAUUGAUUUUAUGUGGUGCUGAGAAUCGAACCCAGUGCCUCACACAUGCCAGGCAAGUGCUCUACCACUGAGCCACAUCCCCAGCCCCAUUUUCAUAUUUUAUUUAGAGACAGAAUUUCACUGAGUUGCUUAGGGCCUCAUUUAGCUGAUGCUGGCUUUGAACCCGAGUGCCUCAGCCUCCCGAGCAGCUGGGAUUACAGGUGUGCAACCCUGUGCCCAGCUUCCCAAUGCCAGUCAUUGGAUCAGGUCCCCCACCCCACUACACAUGACCUCAUCUCAACUUGAUGACAUCGUCAGAAACCCUCUUCCCAAAUAAGGUUCCAUUCUAAGGUCGGAGGGGUUAGACCUUGAGCAUGGUCUUUUAGGGGGACACAAUUUGACCCACUAGAGAUUCUUAGAUUUGUGCCUGCUCCCAAGCCUGGUCCCAGACUCUGCUUUUGGAGGGGACUAAGCCAAGGCAGCAGGGAGUUUGUCUGUCU